rnacentral:rRNA from 1 species
UACUACGGGAGGCAGCAGUGGGGAAUCUUGGACAAUGGGGGCAACCCUGAUCCAGCCAUGCCGCGUGAGUGAUGAAGGCCUUAGGGUCGUAAAGCUCUUUCGCCUGUGAAGAUAAUGACGGUAGCAGGUAAAGAAACCCCGGCUAACUCCGUGCCAGCAGCCGCGGUAAUACGGAGGGGGUUAGCGUUGUUCGGAAUUACUGGGCGUAAAGCGCACGUAGGCGGAUCGAAAAGUUGGGGGUGAAAUCCCGGGGUUCAACCCCGGAACUGCCUCCAAAACUAUCUGUUCUAGAUUCCAAGAAGAGGUGAGUGGAAUUCCCAAUGUAGGAGGUGAAAUUUCCUAAAUAUUCCGGAAGAAACCCAGUUGUUAAAGGGGGCACACUUGGC